GUUUGGAAUGUGCAAGAGAAAAUGAGAGGGGAGAAACUGGAGACUGCACAAGACAACAUUUACCUGUAGCGCAGUCAAUCAACAGUAGAAGAAAAAUAAAAUGGUAACUGGAGAGAGGUCGGGUGAUGACUCUGAGCUUUUGAAACUCAGAUUGAAAGAAUCCUUGACAACACAGAUAAGAAGCACCAAUGCUGAAUGGCUGUCCCAGGACAACUGGAUGCUGCACCUUUGUAGACUCUUGACUACCCAGUUCCUCAGGGCUACAUGGCUUGAAACUGAGUCGUAUCUGACUCUGUACCAUGGCCCAUGGUCUGCUGUGCCACUGACUACCUGAUGGACUUGGGCCUCCUCUGCUCCCUAGGAGGCUGAAAUAAUGUGGAGCAAUGGGAUUAGCGCAGAGGCAGGAAGCCGAUUAGUAGGUUUGUGGUAGGGGGUGGGGUGCUGGGGGAAUGUUGCAGGGAAGCAGGAGUUGGGUUGGCAACUCAAGGGGCUCUGCUGAAAGAGGGGGUGCUGGGCCUGUUACCAGGAGCUGACAGUAACACUGGUGCUGGCAAAGAAGCUCCAGGUGUCUAACUGGACUGAUGCAGGGAUUAGCAAUAGAAUUAGCAAUGCAUCUGAGUUAACCACAUCGGGGUGACUGCACUUGAACCUGCCCCAGUAUAACCAGAUCUGUGAACUAACAGUAAUAGCAAAACCAAAUCAGCUCAGGCCUAAUACACACCUCCUUCACUCACUUGAGAGCCUGCCAGCUAGACCUCCCCUGGGUGUGUGCCUGUCUGGAGCAUGCAGCAAUCUUUGGUUUAAAAUAGUUCAAAACUACAGCCUCUCAUAGCUGUUUUUUUCUCAGAAUGGAAAUAUCUGCAACAGCAGCCAGUGUCACUCCUGCAUUGCCACUUGGUGAAUUAGUGCAAGAAAUUAACAAAGACGAUUUGACUCAAUCUGAGAGAAUGUUUAGCCUUGCUUUGGAAGUGAGGCAAGCUGGCAACGAUCUCUGAUUUUUCACUGCUAAUGCAUUGAGUGAUAAUUACUCCCCAGUAGACCUACAUAAAUUCCAACAUUCUUAACUGGUGCUUCAUGAAUACACCAAGGGGGAAAAAGUACCCUCGGGCAUUAAUCAAAUUUACCAAGCUACUACUCCUUGCUGCUUAAAAGAUACAUCUGCAAUUAUUUAUACAUAGAUCUAUUUUUAUAUGUCUACUAACACUGCUCAUGCGUGCGCUCACCCACACAUUUGGCAUAACAACAUGGCAAGCAUUUGUAAGUAUGCUCCAAAUGUCAGUGUGGGGGUAAUUGCAGAACAUGGAUCUCGCCUUCAUCUGUAGGGCUCUUUGUUUUCAACUGUAAAUCAUGAUGUUUAAUUCUCCCACUUCACACCUGGGUAGGCAGUGGCCACAGCAUGUGUUAAAAUUUAUUUUCUAUAGAUUUAAAUUUUUUUUUUAACCACCAAUACCUCAGGGACCUGCAACCAGUCUUGCACCUCAAAUCUUCAGUAAAAGCUCAGUACUGAAUUUCAGAAAUUGACAGGCAAUUUCUACUUUUGCAAUGGCCUGAGCUUUGCAGGACUGCAGUAGCAAAGGCUAAAUGUGAAAAGGAAAUGGGUGUGAGCAAAAGCCCUUUCUCUCCACAGUGUCCACUGCCCUUCGAUUAAGAGACCAGCAUUUGUUGUCUGUGUAGGAGCUAUUUCUAAACUCUCUUAGCUGGAGGCAAUGUACACCAGACCAGUGGGGUGGGAGCAAUAAAGAAGAAAUGCAGUAAAGAACAAAUUCUUUUCAGAUUAGCUGAUUGGCAGUUGUAAAUAAUGCAGCUCUAGCACUAAAGUAAGAAAGAGCAGCUUCAACCUUGGCACUCAUUAUUUUGCUGUAAGCCUUUUUUCCUAGGAAUGUUUUUCUCUUUCAAGACUUAAACUAUGUUAACUCCUUAUGAUCCAGUCAUUUGUCCAAAAGGGUGAACUGUAAAAACCCUUUGUUGAAACCUCAAAGUUGUGGAUGUGAAAUGAUAGCGAGAAACAAUGGUAUUCUCAAACACUCUUCCCACUUACACCGAAAUUAUGACAGAAAACAUGUACACUUUGGGUUAAAUACCAUUCAUUCUGCAUAAGACCUGACAAGCAUUUUGAAAAAAAUGUUAAAGAAAUUAGGCACAUGAUUUAUAUGCAUGGCUACAUGAAGAACUCAGAUUGUUAAAAAUGGGAAGAGCAUAUAUGAAAUGGUCAUUUAGUGAUUCUAAAGAUAUUUUCAUUCUCGGCAGUCAUGAGGAUACAGUCAACCAGACUGACCUUUAAAUCCUCUGACCUAGUUCUGAAAGUAAAUUAUCAGACCAAUUAUAGGCUGGAUUUAUUUCAAACUGUUAUAAACAAAAAAUAAGUCUUUUUCCUUAAUUAUUUUCAAUUUAACAAUACAUUUGUGUUCAAUUAUGACAUUUAUUGUGAGAGACGGAAUUUUUUUUAUAAAAUCGUUUGUCCCUCCAAGUAUUUCCAUUGGUAUUUUAUUAAAAUAUUUCUUUCCAAAUUGUUUAUUUUUAUCCUUUAGAUCUAAUCGACUACAUUAUAAAUUUAAAAUAGUGUUGCUAUUUUUCUUAUUGUAAAAUCAAUAAAUGUUCUAAUAAAAUAUGAAAUGGCUAAAUAUAUAAUUUGUCUAAAAGAAACUUUGAUCUCUCAGACCCUUCAAUUAUUAAAAAUAAGGGAUUACUUAGUUUCAAUGCUAUUUGUGGCACUAUUUUUGGAAAGAAUGGAUGUCUCCUUAGUAAGAAAUGUUCCAUGACUUUUUAUUUUUGCAUCCUAAAUUGUGAAACUUUACAAGCAGGAAUCUUCUCUCAGUUAUCUUCACAAUCACCUCAAUCUUGUUAGAGCCUGAAUGAUAUUUGGCACUCAAUAUGCAUGUUUUGAAUAAACACAUACAUAAGUAACAGCGCAUCAGGUUGGACAAAGAAGACAUCUGUUCUUCAAGGAUAAAUUAUUUACCAAGGACCUAUUUUGGUGAUUAGAUAGUCUAUAUAUACCUGUACCUUUAACUAUCAUAAGUCUCUGGAGGUAAGAGGCUAUCUAAUAGAAGGAGGCAUGCUGGUAAUUCUAGGCAAUUACAAUUCAAUGCUAAUAUUAAGGUGCAUGGUCUUUUAUGGGAACCCAUAGAGGGACAUCUAUUGGGUUUUAAUGUAUUCCCCACUUCCUAUUUCCAAACCCUCUAAAAAUGCUUCAGGCAUGUGAAAACAGAGUGGAAGAGAAUUUUGAAAAAUUUAAAAAAUAAAGGAAAUAAUAAAAGGAACAUGAGUGGUUGAAAAGGACCCGGGAGAGACUUGCAUAAAUGAAGUGUGUACAUGAGGGAGCAAGGGAGCCCCAACUACCAAAAGGCAAACCUCUAUGUCAGAUUGUGCAGAAGGCACCCUAAGAGAAGGCUCCUCUCUCCAAACUCAGCAAGAACAGGGGAGCAGAACAGCUCCUGCACUGUGAUUUUGCAUCCCCAGUGUCAAUAUUUUCAUCAUUUGCCAAUAACAAUUUGGAGUUGUGCAGUCUAUUCCCCGUGAAGAGUUCACAUGAAAUUAAAGAGCAUUUUUAGUUUCCAAAGCCUUUCAACUUCUACCUAAAAAAAAAA